rnacentral:rRNA from 1 species
AACGCGAAGAACCUUACCAAGCCUUGACAUCCCCCUGACAGAUGGGUAAUGCCAUCGUUCCUACGGGACAGGGGAGACAGGUGGUGCAUGGUUGUCGUCAGCUCGUGUCGUGAGAUGUUGGGUUAAGUCCCGCAACGAGCGCAACCCCUAUGUUCAGUAGCCAGCAGGUAAAGCUGGGCACUCUGGAGAGACUGCCAGGGACAACCUGGAGGAAGGCGGGGAUGACGUCAAAUCAUCAUGCCCCUUAUGGCUUGGGCUACACACGUGCUACAAUGGCGUAAACAAAGGGAAGCAGCCCUGUGAAGGUGAGCAAAUCCCAAAAAUAACGUCCCAGUUCGGAUUGUAGUCUGCAACCCGACUACAUGAAGCUGGAAUCGCUAGUAAUCGCGAAUCAGAAUGUCGCGGUGAAUACGUUCCCGGGUCUUGUACACACCG